rnacentral:ribozyme from 1 species
CGCAGAGCAGCAGGCCUACUCUUAGGCCUGUUAAUGCGGCACAGCGGUUGCAAGCCCGU